UUUAACGAGUUUAAUUAUUCAUUUGAGUAGUGCUACGUGUUUCAAUAAUUCAUAUCAUGGCAUAGUAAACCGUAAUUAUUUCAUAGGCUACAU